CCUACGGGUGGCAGCAGUGGGGGAUAUUGCACAAUGGGCGGAACCCUGAUGCAGCGACGCCGCGUGGGUGAAGAAGCGCCUCGGGUCGUAAAGCCCUGUCAGCAGGGAAGAAAAUGACGGUACCUGAAGAAUAAGCCCCUGCGAACUACGUGCCAGCAACCGCGGUAAUACGUCGGGGGCAAGCGGUAUCCGGAUUUAAUGGGUGGAAAGGGGGCGCAGACGGCUUGUCAAGCCAGGCGUGAAAGCCCGGGGCGCAACCUCGGGACUGCUCUUGGAACUGCGUGGCUGGAGUGCAGGAGGGGCAGGCAGAAUUCCGGGUGUAGCGGUGAAAUGCGUAGAUAUCAGGAGGAACACCGGUGGCGAAGGCGGCCUGCUGGACUGCAACUGACGUUGAGGCGCGAAAGCGUGGGGAGCAAACAGGAUUAGAUACCCCUGUAGUC
rnacentral:rRNA from 1 species